rfam:Vibrio azureus NBRC 104587 DNA, contig: VAZ01S038.
GGAGCUGACUGGGUAGUCGCUGCUUUGUUGAUGUCCUUCGGGAGACUGACGUUGAGGUCCUUUUAGGAGACUGACGUUGACGUCCUUCGGGAGACUGACAAAGGGGAGGAAAGUCCGGGCUUCAUAGAGCAAGGUGCCAGGUAACGCCUGGGGGGCGCAAGCCUACGACAAGUGCAGCAGAGAGAAGACCGCCGAUGGCCCCUAUUUUCGAAUAGUGGUGCACAGGUAAGGGUGAAAGGGUGCGGUAAGAGCGCACCGGGCGGCUAGUAAUAGUUCGCAGCAGGGUAAACUCCACCUGAAGCAAGACCAAAUAGGCCUCCACAUUGCGUUGCUCGCGUAAGGAGGCGGGUAGGUUGCUCGAGCCAGUGAGUGAUUGCUGGCCUAGACGAAUGGCUACCGCCGCGCAAGCGGAACAGAACCCGGCUUAUGUGUCGGCUCCUCCA